AUCAAUAAGCGGAGGAAAAGAAAAUAACAAUGAUUUCCCUAGUAACGGCGAGUGAAGAGGAAAGAGCUCAAAGUUGGAACCUGUUUGACUUAGUUGAACCGGAUUGUAAACUAUAGAAACGUUUUCCAGGCAGGCCUAGUCGAUAAGUCCUUUGGAAUAGGGCACCAGAGAGGGUGAGAGUCCCGUAUUUGACUGGAGUACAUGUCUUUAUGUGAUACGUUUUCAACGAGUCAGGUUGUUUGGGAAUGCAGCCUAAAUUGGGUGGUAAAUCUCACCUAAAGCUAAAUAUUGGCGAGAGACCGAUAGCGAACAAGUACCGUGAGGGAAAGAUGAAAAGAACUUUGAAAAGAGAGUUAAACAGUAUGUGAAAUUGUUAAAAGGGAACCGUUUGGAGCCAGACUGGCUGGAUUGUAAUCAUUCUGGGUUUCGACCUUGAUGCACUUGCAGUUUAUGCCUGCCAAUGGCAAUUUUUCUUGGAGGAUAAAGCCUGUGGAAAGGUAGGAUACUUGUAUCUGUUUAUAGUCCAUGGGAAAUACUCUGAGAGGGAUUGAGGAUCGCAGGGGCAUCUUAAAUCGUAUGGGUAAUUUUUUACUUGUAAGAAUAGGUGUCUUUUUAGGUCGUUGGCUUAAUGACUCUAAAUGAC
rnacentral:rRNA from 1 species